ACGGCAGCGGGGGUAGCUUGCUACCUGCCGAGAUUGGCGAGUGGCGAACGGGUGAGUAAUACAUCGGAACGUGCCCUGUAGUGGGGGAUAACUAGUCGAAAGACUAGCUAAUACCGCAUACGACCUGAGGGUGAAAGUGGGGGACCGCAAGGCCUCAUGCUAUAGGAGCGGCCGAUGUCUGAUUAGCUAGUUGGUGGGGUAAAGGCCCACCAAGGCGACGAUCAGUAGCUGGUCUGAGAGGACGAUCAGCCACACUGGGACUGAGAACACGGCCCAGACUCCUACGGGAGGCAGCAGUGGGGAAUUUUGGACAAUGGGGGCAACCCUGAUCCAGCAAUGCCGCGUGUGUGAAGAAGGCCCUCGGGUUUGUAAAGCACUUUUGUCCGGAAAGAAAUCGCACUGGUUAAUACCUGGUGUGGAUGACCGGUACCGGAAGAAUAAGGACCGGCUAACUACGUGCCAGCAGCCGCGGUAAUACGUAGGGUCCAAGCGUUAAUCGGAAUUACUGGGCGUAAAGCGUGCGCAGGCGGUUGUGCAAGACCGAUGUGAAUUCCCCGGGCUUAACCUGAGGAAUUGCAUUGGUGACUGCACGGGCUAGAGUGUGUCAGAGGGAGGUAGAAUUCCACGUGUAGCAGUGAAAUGCGUAGAGAUGUGGAGGAAUACCGAUGGCGAAGGCAGCCUUCCUGGGAUAACACUGACGCUCAUGCACGAAAGCGUGGGGAGCAAACAGGAUUAGAUACCCUGGGUAGUCCACGCCCUAAACGAUGUCAACUAGUUGUUGGGGAU
rnacentral:rRNA from 1 species